rnacentral:rRNA from 1 species
AAUCAACGCUGGCGGCGUGCCUAACACAUGCAAGUCGAACGCGAAAGGGACUUCGGUCCUGAGUAGAGUGGCGAACGGGUGAGUAACGCGUGGGUGACCUACCCUCGAGUGGGGGAUAACGUUCCGAAAGGGACGCUAAUACCGCAUGACAUUCCUGGUUUGAAGACUGGGAAAUCAAAGCCGGGGACCGCAAGGCCUGGCGCUUGAGGAGGGGCCCGCGUCUGAUUAGCUAGUUGGCGGGGUAACGGCCUACCAAGGCGACGAUCUGUAGCGGGUCUGAGAGGAUGAUCCGCCACACUGGGACUGAGACACGGCCCAGACUCCUACGGGAGGCAGCAGUGGGGAAUAUUGGACAAUGGGCGGAAGCCUGAUCCAGCCAUGCCGCGUGUGUGAAGAAGGCCUUUUGGUUGUAAAGCACUUUAAGCGAGGAGGAGGCUACCUGGAUUAAUACUCUAGGAUAGUGGACGUUACUCGCAGAAUAAGCACCGGCUAACUCUGUGCCAGCAGCCGCCGUAAUAC